rnacentral:sRNA from 1 species
GAGACAAAAUUGACCUUUGUGAGACAAAAUUGAAUUUUGUCUCACGAAAUUGAGUUUUGUCUCACAAAGUCAAUUUUGUCUCACAAAAGUC